CGGCCAGGCCGCUGCUCCGGGCUCGCAGCGUAAGGGGGGGGGGGGGCUCCUGGUCUGGUGCCGCGGGCGCCGCCUCGGUGACUCUGUAGCAGGGCGGGGAUGCUGCUGCCCGGGGCCGCAUCCCGCAGCCGCCGGGGCUCCUCUUUCUCCUGCUGCCGCCGCCGGGCACCUCCCAGCCCCCUCCCGCCGCAGCCGCCCGGGAGCUGAGCCCCGAGGCUAGCGGCACCAUGAGCAGGAGCCAGCCCCGCUGGGGGCACCGGGAAUCAUACGUAAAAGAAAUUAAAUACCCAGAGUCAUCAUUCCUCUCUGAAUGCAGAUCAAUUUCAUCUCAGGCAUCAAAAGAACAAAAAAUGCCAAGUCUAACGUCUGACCACAAAUAUCUGAAUAAUAAAGCCUCAGGAAGAUCACUGGGAUGUUUUCCCUUUGAAAGUAAUUGGAGGAGUGCAUUGUUAAAGACAGAAAGGAUAAAAAAAGCAGAAUACUCUUCAACCUUUGACUUGAGAGACUGCGAGGAGAGUGCUGCAAUAUCAAAUCUUACUCAGGGAGUCCAGAGCUAUCAAGAAAACCCAUCUCCUAUUCUGCAGAUGAAAAAAGGACUUGCAUAUGGUGCUGCUAAACCAUUUCCAACUGGCUCUUAUAGUGAAGAUGAGCAUCAUUUUGUGCCAACUUCGUACAUACUUCCACAGACCUCAUCACAGUACUUAGGAUAUGAGUUUUGCCAAAACAGGGGAGAUAUACCUGUGGUGGAUCUGCAGAAGAGAGGACUAGAUUCUUGGAUCCCAAGUCCACUGAAGAUGCCAGCCAUUCAUGAUGGAGGUGGAGAGAUAGGAGCUUUGAGUGACUGAACUCCAGCUGUAAUAAAAUGGAGAUGCCAGUACUGUACUCCUGCUUAUUGUGUUUGGCCACUGGACUGAAAAAUCAGUAUAUUUAUUCAGCUCUUGUCUGGUGAGGGAGACUGGGACUGAGAUGAAAAGCCUCAGGACUGGAGACUGUAACAGGCUAGGUCUUCACUACCUGAUCUAUCGUGUGUAAAAUCAAUCCCUGAUCACGCUCCAUCAACUCCAAACUCCAGCUCACGAGAGGCGGAAGUAGAGUCGAAAGGGGAGCGGCAGCAGUCAACUCGCCGCUGUCCUCAUGGCCAGAUCUACUACUUUUACUCUGGAGUCUCUCUUCAACAAGCUAACAAGGGCUUAGUCUGACCUACUCUUGAGCAAAAGCAAAGCAGGAAGGUGAUACUCUUGAUUCACAGUUCAGUGCCCUCACCAGAAAACAACCAGGAAUAUAGUUCAACUUCAAUUAGUUGAAGGUGUAUAAUAGAAGAACAAGCAUGAGAACAAUUUGAAUUGAUAGACAAACCUGCUAUUUUAUCGUCACUCCAAGAUGAAAUGUAAACGAGGAUAAUUCACUCUCCAUGCAGUUGCUACUUUGCCUCUUUUACUGACAACGCUAAAACAUGGGCUUCAUUCCGAAUAUGCUGGUGGAACUAGACUGACUGAACGAGUCCUCUGAUAUUACUGUCAAUUCACACCUACCUGGACCUACUAGUGGAAGGCUUUUAUUACAAAUGAUAUGAACUUUUAAACACUCUAUAGUGCUGCUCUAUCAAAUAUGGGAAGGCCAAAUUUACCCCACACAUCUUAACAAAAUGAAUCUAUUCCUCAUGAAUUUUAACCAUAGUCCAAAAUGGUAAAUAUCUUACCCUCUGAUCCUGAUCACAAAGGCCAGUUUUGGUUCAGCAGGUACAUAGUAAUUGCCAGCUUUGCGUGCCAUUCGGGCCAUACGAAUCUCACGUCUAUACAUUUGCCUGUACUCCUUGUGAUAGGCCUGAGCUCUUGCA